CACGGGGGGAGCAAGCGUUGUUCGGAAUCACUGGGCGUAAAGGGCGCGUAGGCGGCCUUCUAAGUCGAACGUGAAAUCCCCGGGCUCAACCCGGGAACUGCGUCCGAUACUGGAAGGCUUGAAUCCGGGAGAGGGAUGUGGAAUUCCAGGUGUAGCGGUGAAAUGCGUAGAUAUCUGGAGGAACACCGGUGGCGAAGGCGACAUCCUGGACCGGUAUUGACGCUGAGGCGCGAAAGCCAGG
rnacentral:rRNA from 1 species